GGCCGGCUGGCCUAAUGGUUAAGGCGUCAGUUUCCGGUUUACGGAUUCAGCUGAAGAUUCUGGGUUCGACUCCCAGGUUGGUCG